rnacentral:tRNA from 1 species
GCCUAGGUGGUGAAAUUGGUAGACACAAGGGACUUAAAAUCCCUCGACUUCACGGUCGUGCCGGUUCGAUUCCGGCCCUAGGUACCA